CAAAUUACACUCUAAAUUUUCAAUGUCAUAAAUUGUACGACUAAAUCCCUAAUGUCAUUAGUUGUGAGUUCAUUUCAUGAAAGCAACCAGCCUUCAAAUUCAAGGUUUGUUCAAGUCGUCAUCGACAAUCUCUGUUUAGGUUAAGUUCAAGCUUUGUUCCAGUCGUCAUUGUCAGCCUCCAUUUAAGACAAGUUUAUCAUCUUGAUUUCAGGUAUUAUCGGUGACCUUUUAAUUUAUUUUUCAACCUUAGAAAGAAAGAAAGUGGGAAAGAAAGAAAACUAGAACUUCUGUAUUGCAUUGAAAAUAAAGUAGUUUGUGUUCCUCUAUUUUUUUUUAUUGUUUAUUACAGACUUUUGCUUUGAUCUUGAUAUAUACUUGAUGGAUGAUGUGGUGAAGACCAGAAAUUUUAAUAUCUUGGCAUGGUGGAAAGUUUCAUCUAGUAAAUAUCCAAUAGUUUCAAAUAUUGCAAGGGAUGUUCUUUCUAUUCCUAUUUUUAUUGUUGCAUCUGAGUCGGCUUUUAGUACAGGUGAUCGAGUUCUUGAUUCUUAUCGGAGUUCUUUAUCACCAAAAACAGUAGAAGCUCUUAUUUGUACUCAACAAUAGAUACGAUCAUCUUCCAAGGAAUACUAGUUUGAAGACAUGUUGGAAGAAGUCUAGAAAAUUGAUCAAGUUGAAGAAGGUAAUAAUUUAUCUUCGAUUAGUAAUUAAUAUAGUUAUUUUUGUGUAUUACUUAAUAUUAAAUAUGUUAAUUGUUUUUUUUAUUUUAGAAUAUCCAGACUCACCUUUUAGGAUUGAUUAGAGGGAUAGUUAACUAUAAUUUUCUCUAGGACUAUUUUUGGAAUCUUAACUACUUAAAGGCAAUUAAAAGAGGUUCUAUUAGUUUCUUUACUUUUGUCUAUAACCUUUCUGUUGAGCCUAAAGUACUUGAUUAUUUAUAAAUAUUUCAGGUAUUACAAAAGUUUAUUCCAAGAAAAAGAAUAUAACUGCAAUGAAUCUCCCAAAGAUUGGAAUUUGGGUCAUUAUGCCUUUACUAACAUUCUGGAAUAUGCUCCUCGGGAUUAAAAUGUCCAACUUCUUAGAGUUUAAUAUAUUCUCUUUUUGUUUAUUUUCUAUGACUCUUGGCCGUAGUGUCUACUCUUAAAAUAUUGGUGAUAAUUCAUAUGUAGAAUGCAAUAUAAUUUGCAAUUUAUCUUUUUGGCAGUCUAUGACUCUUCGUUGUAACUAUUUACAAAUGUUUCAGGUAAUUCUAUGACUCUUGAAUCCUUUUUAGUACUGUGAUUGUAACACAAAAUGGAUGAUCACAUUCACAUAUUAUCACCAAUGGUUUAAGUUGUAAGGAUUGAUUAAAUAUCUGGUGCACUUCUAUCUUUUUUUAAAGAUG
rnacentral:lncRNA from 1 species